rnacentral:lncRNA from 1 species
AUGACCAAAAUAAAGGUAGAUUCGAUGGGCCCGAGGCUCAGGAGGAGGCGUGCUCCGGGGAGCGCACCUACCAGGAGCUGCUGGUUAACCAGAACCCCAUCGUGCAGCCCCUGGCUUCUCGCCGCCUCACGCGGAACCUCUACAAAUGCAUCAAGAAAGCCAUGAAGCAGAAGCAGCUUCGGCGCGGGGUGAAAGAGGUUCAGAAAUUUGUCAACAAAGGAGAAAAAGGGAUCAUGGUUUUGGCAGAAGACACACUGCCCAUUGAGGUAUACUGCCAUCUUCCAGUCAUGUGUGAGGACCGAAAUCUGGCCUAUGUCUCUAUCCCUCUAAGAUGAACCUGGGUGCAGCCGCAGGCUCCAAGUGCCCCACCUGUGUGAUAAUGGUCAAGCCCCACAAGGAGUACCAGGAGGCCUACGACAAGUGCCUGGAGGAGGUGCAGUCCCUACCCCUACCCCUAUGA